rnacentral:rRNA from 1 species
AGCUCAAAUUUAAAAUCUGGCAGUGUUUUGCUGUCCGAGUUGUAAUCUAGAGAAGUGCUGCCCGUGCUGGACCAUGUACAAGUCUCCUGGAAUGGAGCGUCACAGAGGGUGAGAAUCCCGUCUUUGACAUGGACUACCAGUGCAUUUGUGGUGUGCUCUCAAAGAGUCGAGUUGUUUGGGAAUGCAGCUCUAAAUGGGUGGUAAACUCCAUCUAAAGCUAAAUAUUGGCGAGAGACCGAUAGCGAACAAGUACCGUGAGGGAAAGAUGAAAAGAACUUUGGAAAGAGAGUUAAACAGUAUGUGAAAUUGUUGAAAGGGAAACGCUUAAAGUCAGUCGUGUCGGCCAGGGAUCAACUCAGCUUUAUCUGCUGGGUGUACUUCCUGAUCUGAUGGGCCAACAUCAGUUUUGACUGCUGGAGAAGGGCAGAGGGAAUGUGGCACCUUCGGGUGUGUUAUAGCUCUCUGUCAGAUGCAGUGGUUGGGACUGAGGAAAGCAGCAUGCCGCAAGGCCGGGUCGUUUCGACCACGUUCAUUGCUGA